UAUAUUCUAAAGCACACCAAGCUCUUCGUGUUUGUGGCUGGAGUGACUGUGUGCCGCUUUGCCCUUAGAUGCAGCGACGCUUUCAUAACUUCUGAAGAUGUCUGAACGGUCCAAGGUGACACACAUAAUUCAUCACCUCCUUCAUUCGCUGAUUUACCACAUCCUCCUGUGAGCUCCCUGAGAGCAGGUUCUGUGAUAACUUCUAAAAUAGUACGGAGCAGGAGUAAGAGAGCUGUGGAAGAAAAACAUCGUCAAACCGGAAUUCCUUGACACCACCGGCUGAAGCAGUGUGGCAACGAGAAUGACUAGAAAGUUAGCAAGGUAUUUUAUUUUUAAACUUUUGAUGAGCAUCAGAAAGAAAUCAACUUGGACAAUGAAAGUUUCUUUUUUCUUUGCCUAAUUUUUACUUGGAAAUAUUUAGAUACUAUUGGCCAGAUGUUGGGGAGAACUGUC